CAAGUCGAGGGGCAGCAUGGUGUAGCAAUACACUGAUGGCGACCGGCAAACGGGUGCGGAACACGUACGCAACUUACCCAAAACUGGGGAAUAGCCCGGGGAAACCCGGAUUAAUACCUCGUAACAUAAUGAAGUGGCAUCACUUUAUUAUUAUAGCUCCGGCGGUUUUGGAUGGGCGUGCGCCUGAUUAGGUAGUUGGCGGGGUAACGGCCCACCAAGCCUACGAUCAGUAACUGGUGUGAGAGCACGACCAGUCACACGGGCACUGAGACACGGGCCCGACUCCUACGGGAGGCAGCAGUAAGGAAUAUUGGUCAAUGGACGCAAGUCUGAACCAGCCAUGCCGCGUGAAGGAUGAAGGUCCUCUGGAUUGUAAACUUCUUUUAUAUGGGAAGAAAUCCAUCUUUUCUUGGGUGGUUGACGGUACCAUAGGAAUAAGCACCGGCUAACUCCGUGCCAGCAGCCGCGGUAAUACGGAGGGUGCAAGCGUUAUCCGGAUUCACUGGGUUUAAAGGGUGCGUAGGAGGGCAGGUAAGUCAGUGGUGAAACCUCCAAGCUUAACUUGGAAACUGCCGUUGAUACUAUCUGUCUUGAAUACCGUGGAGGUGAGCGGAAUAUGUCAUGUAGCGGUGAAAUGCUUAGAUAUGACAUAGAACACCAAUUGCGAAGGCAGCUCGCUACACGAAUAUCGACUCUGAGGCACGAAAGCGUGGGGAUCAAACAGGAUUAGAUACCC
rnacentral:rRNA from 1 species